rnacentral:lncRNA from 1 species
GUUUAAGACAGUGGAGCAGUAAGACAGUGGAACUAUAAGACAGUAGGGCUGUAAGACAGUAAACGUGUAAGACAGUAGAGUUGUAAGACAGUAGAGCAGCAAGACAGUGGAGCAGUAAGACAGUAGAGCAGCAAGAUAAUAGAGCAGCAAGAAAGUGGAGCAAAAAGACAAUAGAGAUGUAAGACAGUAGAGCAGCAAGACAGUAGAGCAGUAAGACAGUAGAACAGUAAGACAGUAAAUCAGUAAGGCAGUAGAGCUAUAAGACAGUAGAGCAGUAAGACAGUAGAUCAGCAAGACAGUAGAGCUGUAAGACAGUAGAGCUGUAAGACAGUAGAGCAGUAAGACAGUAGGGCUGUAAGACAGUAGAGCUGUAAGUCAGUAAAGGUGUAAGACAGUAGAGCUGUAAGACAGUAAAGGUGUAAGACAGUAGGGCUGUAAGACAGUAGAGCAGUAAGACAGUUGAGCAGUAAGACAGUAAAGGUGUAAGACAGUAGGGCUGUAAGACAGUAGAGCAGUAAGACAGUAGAGCAGUAAGACAGUAGAGCAGUAAGACAUUAGAGCAGUAAGACAGUAGGGCUGUAAGACAGUUGGGCUGUAAGACAGUAGAGCAGUAAGACAGUAGAGCAGUAAGACAGUAGAGCUGUAAGACAGUAGGGCUGUAAGACAGUAGGGCUGAGCUGAUUGGUCCAGACAGACUAGGCAACAUGAAGGGUCAGAGUUUACUGUAUAGCCAUGAGCGGUCGUGGGUUAAGUAGCCAUGCAUCACUGCGCUGGAGCACACUAGAGAGAGGUCUCCAUGACUCACUGAACAAUUAAUGUGCUGCUUAGAAACAACAUCAUUUAUAUCAAGCCAUUAACUUUUUCAGUCAAAUACAUUUUUAAUGCUUCUGUUACAUAUUAGAAUGAUGUUAUAGUAUUGAAUUGUCUAAUUGUUGUUGUAUUGUGUUGUCUGAUAACACUUUGUGGAUGCCUCAUACAUGACGCUGACUGCCUGCAACGAUUUGUCCUAAAACAUCAAACAACAAAACAUAUCAUAAUCUCAAGUUAUCAUUUUGAAUAUAUAAAAAACGUUGUAACAACUCUUUGUCAAAACUUUGCUAUUUAAUGUUUUCCCUGUUGUAUCUUUUGUUGAAAUCUUUAUUUUUUCAAAGCUGUGUUUCAAGAACAAACCACAGAAACCCUGUCAUGUCUAACCCAGACUACCAAGCACUCCCCUCUCUCAUCUCUCUCUUUUCUCUUCCUCUCCUCUAU